UGAGGAACAUGACCUUCGGCGGGGGAUAGCCGGCCCAACGGCCGGGUAAUACCGCGUACGACCACAUGGGGACAUCCCUGAGUGGUGAAAGCAGCAAUGCGCCGAUGGAGUGCCUCGCGGCCUAUCAGCUAGUUGGUGAGGUAACGGCUCACCAAGGCGACGACGGGUAGCUGGUCUGAGAGGAUGGCCAGCCACAUUGGGACUGAGACACGGCCCAGACCUCUACGGGA
rnacentral:rRNA from 1 species